rnacentral:rRNA from 1 species
GGGGAAUAUUGCACAAUGGAGGAAACUCUGAUGCAGCAACGCCGCGUGAGGGAAGACGGUUUUCGGAUUGUAAACCUCUGUCCUUGGUGACGAAAAAAAUGACGGUAGCCAAGGAGGAAGCUCCGGCUAACUACGUGCCAGCAGCCGCGGUAAUACGUAGGGAGCAAGCGUUGUCCGGAUUUACUGGGUGUAAAGGGUGCGUAGGCGGCACUGCAAGUCAGGCGUGAAAACUAUGGGCUUAACUCAUAGAUUGCACUCGAAACUGCGGGGCUUGAGUGGAGUAGAGGCAGGCGGAAUUCCCGGUGUAGCGGUGAAAUGCGUAGAGAUCGGGAGGAACACCAGUGGCGAAGGCGGCCUGCUGGGCUUUAACUGACGCUGAAGCACGAAAGCAUGGGUAGCAAACA